ensembl:lncRNA
UGAAUGCAUAACUAAAUCAAUAAUGUGCUUCUUUAUCAGGCUUCUGACUUUACCAAAGAAUUGAAACGAUACAUACAAUAUAGUGCUGGCACAAGUUCUGGUGGCUGGUUCUGGCCACUUGUGAAGAGUGUGAAAAUCAAGAUACCAAACUGUUGUGAACUCCUGGAACACAUUGUGCUUCUUGAUCUUCCUGGGACUGGAGACUGCAACAAUAUUAGAGAUGACUUGUGGAAAUCUGUAACUACAAAUACUUAAACAACAACAACAUUUAGAAACUUUUUAAAACUAUUUAGUUAUUUAUUUUUUACAAAACAGUGGAAUACUUCUGCUGAAGCAGUUUUACUUUGUUACUACAUGUAUUUCAGCUAAGUCUUUUUUUUAAUGCCCUUUUUAUUAUAUUUCUUAUUCCACAGAAACUAAGAGACUGCUCUUCAGUAUGGAUUUUAAGUGAUAUCAAUCGUGCUGUCAACAACAAAAAUACCUGGGAGAUAUUAAAGUACUGCUCUAAAGACAUGACACAUGCAGGGGAAUGCAGAGAUAUUCACUUUAUCUGCACCAAGAGUGACAAUAUUGAGCCAGAAGAAUAUAAUAGUACUCUGGAAGUCAAAAUACCAGAAGACGAGGAUCUGACAACAAAUUGCAUACUUCACAGAAACAAACAGGCUAAGAAGACUGUGUUAAAAACCUUUGAAAAUUCAGAUAUCAAGAAAGAGAUGGAUCUACAGGUUUUUACUGUAAGCUCCAAGGCAUUUUUUGAACAUAGGUUAGGCCUGAAACAGGAUGAAACAGGUAAAGUUUGAAGUCAGGAAAAGCAAAUGUGUUUGCGCAGAUUUGAUUGUUUACCAGUUGAAACCAAAUUAGAUACUCAUUUUUUAUUUAUUUUUUUUACAUUCUGCAAAUGGUCCAUAGAAAUUCCAAAGCUGCAAGAUGUUCUGAAGAAAAUGAAUGAGAGAAUUAACCAGG